UGUCUGCCAGCAAGGAUAUGACAAAAGAACACUGAAACUGAAAACAAAGGGAGCUAGCUGGGAAAUUCCCCUUCACUAUAAGAGUAAAGAACGUUUUCCCUGGCGGAAAAAUGAAGGGAAAGAAGACAUGAGAAUUCACUACCAAUUUCUUAAACACAUUUCUUUUUCUGAGCGUAUCUGACCCUGAAUUUCUCCUUCAAAUAAUCCAUCUCAGAAACCGGAGCUAUAAAGUCUGCAAGGGAAUUCUGCAUUUCAACUAGGAAUACAUGGAACCUGUGAAGAGUAAUGCUGGGAAGGAGUAGACUGUGGUGAUCAUGAUCCGUCCAGGUAGCAACAGUACAGGACUGCCAUAAAGCUAAUGAAAACUCGGAGAAUUGCCAUCACAAGCCCACACUCAAUAAGAAAUCUCCACGAAGAGACUGAUGAGGAAGCCAACAUUAAUACCAGAGUAUCAGCUGCUGCACACGGUUUGAACACGAAGCACCAACAGCAACAGAGGAGCCUUCACAGCCAGUAGUGCUACGUAACUUCACCACCAGGAGAGUAACGAGACGCUGAACUUU
rnacentral:lncRNA from 1 species